GCAGGACGCCUGUGUCUUCCCUUUGCGCCGCUGGUGACAAUAUAAAGCAUUUUUUCUCUGAGCGGGCUCUCAUUCACAGCGUCAAGCAUAAAUAAUAGUGUUACACUAUGUAAAAACACGUACACUUAUAGAGAUGUAGUUUUAUGAUGAGGCUGUGGAGCACCCUUAGAAAACUAACCUUGGGGUUGUAAAAGUACACUACCUCCCCGUCGGGGAAUUGAACCCCGGUCUCCCGCGUGACAGGCGGGGAUACUAACCACUAUACUAACGAGGAGCUGUGUUGGUGCUUCCUCUGGAGGUGCCCUUUCUUGGAAAGAUGGGGUCUCACAAUAUGGUUGAGGCUGGUCUUUGAACUCAGCACGUGGUCCAGCUUGGCCUUAAACUCAGGAGAUCCUCUGCCUCAGUCUCCUGAAUACUGGGAUCAUAAGCAUGUUGCUACCAUGCCUGGCUAAGGACGGACUCAGGGCCUUCAGGAUGCUAAGCAUGGGUUGUACGCUGAACUCCAACCCUCGCCCAUAUGUAUUUUUAUAGAUGAUAUGAUACUGUUUAAUCUAUUGAAAGGGCAAAAGUGUUAGUGGCGACAUAAACAAAUGGUAAUUUCUGAAACAUGUUUUAACAUAUAUUUUUUUCCACUCCAAAAUAUGGCAAAAGCCUCAAGAAAUAAAAACAAAACAAAACA